UACGUAGGUGACAAGCGUUGUCCGGAUUUACUGGGCGUAAAGAGCGCGCAGGCGGUCGAUCAAGUCGAGUGUGAAAGCCCCCGGCUCAACUGGGGAGGGUCAUUCGAUACUGAUCGACUCGAAGGCAGGAGAGGGUAGUGGAAUUCCCGGUGUAGUGGUGAAAUGCGUAGAUAUUGGGAGGAACACCAGUGGCGAAGGCGGCUCACUGGACCGGAACUGACGCUGAGGCGCGAAAGCGUGGGGAGCAAACAGG
rnacentral:rRNA from 1 species